rnacentral:rRNA from 1 species
UAACAAGGAUUCCCCUAGUAACGGCGAGUGAAGAGGGAAAAGCCCAAGUUUGAAAGCUGGCACCUUUGGUGUCCGCAUUGUAAACUCGAGAAGCAUUAUCCGCGCCGGACCAAGCUUUAAAUCCUUUGGAAUAAGGUACCUUAGAGGGUGAUAGUCCCUUUCAUAGUUUGGAACCCCCGGGGCUUUGUGAUUUGCUCUCCAAGAGUCGAGUUGUUUGGGAAUGCAGCUCAAAAUGGGUGGUAAAUGCCAUCUAAGGCUAAAUAUUGAGGAGAGACCGAUAGCGAACAAGUACCGUGAGGGAAAGAUGAAAAGAACUUUGGAAAGAGAGUUAAACAGUACGUGAAAUUGCCGGAAGGGAAGGGUAGGAAGUCAGACAUGCCUUUGCGGAUUCAGCUUGACCUUUUGAGGUUGUGUGUAUUUCCGUUUGGGCAGGCCAACAUCGAUUUUGGCUGUCGGAUAGGAAUGGAAGGAAUGUGGCACUCUUUUCGGAGGGUGUGUUAUAGCCUUCUAUUUGGUACGGCGGCUGGGAUCGAGGAACGCAGUGCACCCUUUUUUGGGCGGGCCU